AGCUUUGCGCAGUGGCAGUAUCGUAGCCAAUGAGGUUUAUCCGAGGCGCGAUUAUUGCUAAUUGAGCAUUUAUAAAGCUAGGUAACUGCUAAGUGCUUUUACAUCCAUUAUAUCACAAAUCCUAACAGUUGCCCAGUGUAAGAAUUGUCAUCUACA
ensembl:snRNA U4 U4 spliceosomal RNA